GCAAUGAUUUACUUGUUAUACUUCGAAUAACACAUACUUGUGCCUGGCUGUGCUGGAUGGUAUACUCUGUGUCAUUUUCCUUCAUGGGAGAAACAGCCCACAGAGCUCACCAACAAGUACUCCUAAACUGAGUUAGAGUUUAAGCUUUGAGAUGCAGCCAGAUGAGCUAAUAGAAAAGCUCAUGUCACCUAUGCAGUAUGCAUGAUGCAUCUGGGCACAGCAGAGAUGAAUCGAAAACUCAUUGCUGUAGGUGGUUAUAACAGAGAGGAAUGUCUUCGAACAGUUGAAUGCCAUGAUCCAUAUACAGAUCAUUGGUCCUUUCUUGCUCCCAUGAGAAUACCAAGAGCUCGAUUUCAAAUGGCUGAACUAAUGGGCCAGCUCUAUGUGGUAGGUGGGUCAAACGGCCACUCAGAUGAUCUGAGUUGUGGAGAGAUGCAUGAUCCAAACAUAGAUGACUGGAUUCCUGUUCCAGAAUUGAGAACUAACCAUUGUAAUACAGACAUGUGUGCCCUGAAUGGAAAAUUAUAUAUUAUUGGUGGCUCUGAUCCAUAUGGUCAAAAAGGACUGAAAAACUGUGAUGUGUUUGAUCCUAUAACAAAGUCAUGGACAAGCUGUGUUCCUCUUAACAUACAAAGACAUCAAUCUGCAGUCUGUGAGCUUGGUGGUUAUUUGUACAUAAUUGGAGGUGCAGUGUCUUGGAACUGCUUGAACACAGUAGAACGUUACAAUCCUGAAAAUAACACCUGGACUUUAAUUGCACCCAUGAAUGUGGUUAGGUGAGGAGCUGGAGUAGCUGCUCUUAAUGGAAAACUUUUUGUAGGUGGUGGCUUUGAUGGUUCUCAUGCCAUCAGUUGUGUGGAAAUGUAUGACCCAGCUAGAAAUGAAUGGAAGAUGAUGGGGAAUAUGAUUUCGCCGAGGAGCAAAGCUGGGAUCACACCUGUUGGGAACAACAUUUAUACAGUGGGAGGAUUUGAUGCCAAUGAAUUUCUGAAUACGGUGGAAGUCUAUAGCCUCACGUUAAAUGAGUGGAGCCCUUAUACUAAGAUUUUCCAGUUUUAA